UUUGACAUGUACGGAAGCCUUUAGAGAUAGAGGCGUGCUCGAAAGAGAGCCGUAACACAGGGUGCUGCAUGGCCGUCGUCAGCUCGUGUCGUGAGAUGUUGGGUUAAGUCCCGCAACGAGCGCAACCCUUGUCAUUAGUUGCUACACUCAGUUGGGCACUCUAAUGAGACUGCCGGUGACAAGCCGGAGGAAGGUGGGGAUGACGUCAAGUCCUCAUGGCCCUUAUAGGUGGGGCUACACACGUCAUACAAUGGCUGGUACAAAGGGUUGCCAACCCGCGAGGGGGAGCUAAUCCCAUAAAGCCAGUCGUAGUCCGGAUCGUAGUCUGCAACUCGACUACGUGAAGUCGGAAUCGCUAGUAAUCGUGGAUCAGAAUGUCACGGUGAAUACGUUCCCGGGUCUU
rnacentral:rRNA from 1 species